rnacentral:lncRNA from 1 species
CUUGUUUUAGUCAAUCACACUGUUAAAGUAUCAACAACCAUCUACUAAAAUGUUAAAGUUACCAAAUCAAACAAUUCCAAACGGGCUUGACUCGAGUUAAACAUUCAUAGUUCUGAUGCACGAUUGCUCUACCAUUGAUGCCACGUGCCAACUCAAACCCGAAUGAGUUAACUAUGAAUAUAGAGAGGGAAGUAUUUCUAGUUUGGCAUAGCAACCUUGUUGGAUGGUACAGCAAAGAAAUAGAAGCAACAGAGCUGGCCAUUUGGACUGUUCUUGUAUGCCUUUUAGUUUUCAGGUUGGCUAGAAAGUAUACGACACCGUUUCAUUGGAUAUCUUGCUAACUUUACUUGGAAUCCUCCAAGUUUUCGAGGAAACCAAUGGGGAACAACCAAAGUGCCAGCCAGCCAUCCCAACUCCUGAGACAUAAUAAUAUGAGAGCCAACGAAUAUACUUUAUUGUAAGUGAAAACUUGACGUCACGUCCGAAUUGAUCCAAGGAAAUGCUCAUUAAUAUCAGCCCUUGCCCAUCCCAGAUCCAUUAAGAGAAGCUUCUUCCUCCUGCACUCGAAAAUCAAACAAAAUCAUUCGAGAAUGAAAACGAAAUUCAAACAGGAUAUAAACGCAGCCUUUUGACCUUACCACUAGUGCAUACGCAUUGAAUUCAGUCUCUUCGUCGAUGGCAGUGAUGACGGCCGGAUCCUCCAGUAGAUC